AGUGAACGCUGGCGGCAGGCCUAACACAUGCAAGUCGAACGGUAGCACAGAGGAGCUUGCUCCUUGGGUGACGAGUGGCGGACGGGUGAGGAAUAUAUCGGAAUCUACCCUUUCGUGGGGGAUAACGUAGGGAAACUUACGCUAAUACCGCAUACGAACUGAGGUUGAAAGCGGCGGACCGCAAGGCGUCGCGCGGAUGGAUGAGCCGAUAUCCGAUUAGCUAGUUGGCGGGGUAAAGGCCCACCAAGGCGACGAUCGGUAGCUGGUCUGAGAGGAUGAUCAGCCACACUGGAACUGAGACACGGUCCAGACUCCUACGGGAGGCAGCAGUGGGGAAUAUUGGACAAUGGGCGCAAGCCUGAUCCAGCCAUGCCGCGUGUGUGAAGAAGGCCUUCGGGUUGUAAAGCACUUUUGUUGGGAAAGAAAUCCUGUCGGUUAAUACCCGGCGGGGCUGACGGUACCCAAAGAAUAAGCACCGGCUAACUUCGUGCCAGCCGCCGCAGUAA
rnacentral:rRNA from 1 species